UCGGGAAUUUUGGGCAAUGGGCGAAAGCCUGACCCAGCAACGCCGCGUGAAGGAUGAAGUAUUUCGGUAUGUAAACUUCGUAAGAAUAGGAAGAAUAAAUGACGGUACUAUUUGUAAGGUCCGGCUAACUACGUGCCAGCAGCCGCGGUAAUACGUAGGGACCAAGCGUUGUUCGGAUUUACUGGGCGUAAAGGGCGCGUAGGCGGUGUGUCAAGUCAGUUGUGAAAUCUCCGAGCUUAACUCGGAACGGUCAACUGAUACUGUCACACUAGAGUACAGAAGGGGCAAUCGGAAUUCUUGGUGUAGCGGUGAAAUGCGUAGAUAUCAAGAGGAACACCUGAGGUGAAGACGGGUUGCUGGGCUGACACUGACGCUGAGGCGCGAAAGCCAGGGGAGCAAACGGGAUUAGAUACCCAUGUAGUCCCUGAGCGGGCUGGCAAGGCGCAU
rnacentral:rRNA from 1 species